ensembl:lncRNA
CCCCCUCCAGCCCUCUGGCCCCUACAGUACCCCCUCCAGCCCUCUGGCCCCUACAGUACCCCCCUCCAGCCAACUGGCCCCUACAGUACCCCCUCCAACCAACUGGCCCCUACAAUACCCCCCUCGAGCCCACUGGCCCCUACAGUAUCCCCCUCCAACCAAGCCUUGUGGGAGCCCGGGCCCUGGCACCAUAUGGGGGACCAGGGGGUGGAUACCAAAGGUUUGGAGCUGAUGGCACCCUACAAUCAGAGCGAGGAGAUGGGGCUUGGGUGUUGGGAGGAGAGGGUGGAGGAGGUGCAAGUAGAAGGGAUACAUAAAGGGGAGGAAAGCAUAGUUCUUCCCCUCUCCUCCCCCCUCUUCCCUUCUGCCUGUCCUGCCCCUGUCUUCUCCCCCCUCCUCCCUUCCCCCUCCCCGCCUCCCCUCCCCUUGUAUGCCCCCCUCUCUACGGAGGGGAACACAGAGGCUCUGCCUACUGCUCCUUCUGACACUGCCUCCACCCAGAACCACAACAGGAGCGAGCACAGCAUCAUCGCCAAGAUCCGGAGUUACUACCAGGCUGCCGAGGAGGAGGAGGUGGAGGUGGAGGGUGGAGGCGGAGGUAGGGGUGGAGUUGGAGGUGGAGGUGGGGGUCAAGAAGGUGGAGGAGGAGGAGGAGAGCGGAGAGGAGCGCCUGAUCUCCUCCGGUCUGCUGAGGAAUUCCUCUGAAGCCACAAGAACAGAUAGAGAGGUAGAUAGAGGUGAUGCGUCUAUCUCUCCUCUCCUCUCAUUGGCUGGACAGGAAAACGGACUGGCCAACGGGCCAAUCAGCUCUACAGAAGGACAAGCCAGCCUGAGCCCAUCAUCAAUCUGGACCAAUGAGAACACCGCCUACCAACUUGCUUUCCCAGAGCUUCGGCGGGCUAGCGUCUCUGGACCACAUCAAGGAGUGAUUAAACCAAGCCCCGUCGACCAAGACCCAAGCCCCGCCUCUCAGGACCACAAUGACCCGAGUCCCACCCACCAGGACCCAAGCCCCACCCACCAGGACCCUAGCCCAACCCACCAGGACCCCAGCCCAGCCGACAAGGACCAACAUCACCCCAGUCCCACCAACCAGGACCCCAGCCCCGCCCACAAGGAUCCCAGCCCCGCCCACCAGGGCCCUAGCCCCGCCCACCGGGACCCCAGCCCCGCCCACCAGGACAGUAGCCCCGCCCAGCAGGUCCAACAUGACCCCAGUCCCACCCACCAGGACCCCAGCCCCGCCCACCAGGACCGCAGCCCCGCCCACCAGGACCAUAGCCCCGCCCAGCAGGACCCUAGCCCCGCCCACCAGGACCCCAGACCCGCCCACCAGGAACCCAGUCCCACCCACAAGGACCCUUGCCACGCCAACCAAGAUUCCUCUGGGAACCAGCACAGGAAGGCCAGAACACAGAGAGAACUGGACCAGGACACCCGCCUGCAGGCCCUUCAUCCCAGCCAGACCAGGGUGGGGGACUGGUCUGCCCCCAGCAGGAGGGCCUUGUUGGAGGUGUCUGGGUCAGGUGUAGCAGGCAUCCGGCUGUUUGAGAUGGGGCCCCUCGCUGACCCAGCAUUGAUGAAGAACUCGGAGCGGAUUCUGAACAAGGUCCAAACGCUGGCACGCAUGUACAGCUCAAGCGCCGGGACCAUGAAGCUUCCUCUGCACCAAAAGCAGAACGCCAGGAGGACCAGGACGCCCCAAGACACGCAGACCGGGUGCCUGAAGGAGCAGGGGAAGCACAUCCAGUCCCAGCGCUCCAGUCAGAACCCUACUGACACUAACAGACCCGAUACAGCCAAAACACACACACAGUCCCCACUCACCUGGGCUCAGAACCCAAAUACGACCAGGAGCCUUGCCCAGACCCAGGCAGGUCCGCCGGCCCCCUGGUUGGAGGAUGGAGGGAUGAAGGAAGAGCAAGAGGUGGAAGACAAGUGCAUGAGGAGGAGAGGGAGCGGGACCAGUGACCCCCAGGCGGCCCCAGUGGUGUUGGGUCCGGUCUCGGUCAGACCCUGCUUGGCCCUCUGUCGGCCCCGGGACUUCAUCUCCGCCCUGAGCUCCAGUGUCGCCUCCGCGACCACCAGCCUCCCCAGAGCAGGCCUCCCCUCCCCUGGGGGGGAGGGCUGCAGGGAGUCCCAGGAGAGAGCCUACCACCAUGGCUCUGGUCUCACUAUCCUGAGGGACCACCGGGCUGACCUCCCCCAGGAAAGGCCACCUGGUCAGGUCCGUGUCUCCCGCGUCAGCCCGCUGGCCUCCCCUCACCCAACGUACCCGCUGACGGGGCCUCUAGACGGGGGUCCGACUCCACCAACAGCCCCCUGGUCCCUGGGUUGUCUGAGGCUUGGCCCCCAGCCCUCAAUGGAGGCCAGCUGAGAGAGAGCUCUUCUGAGGACCUCCAUCAGGAUAUUCCUCGGUUGCCAUGGGAGAUGUCAUCGUUGCUGUCUCCCCCACCCUCCCUCUCCAGGCCUAACCUCACCCACCGCCCCCCCUCCCCCUGCAGGGCCAUCCCUCCUUUCUCCCCCCCUCAGCCCUCUAGUGGGAGGGGUUUGGACAGACGGGGCGGAGCCCCGUUCUCAGCCUUCUCCAGAUCAUUGGCCGCCUCCUUCAUCAGUCAAAGCAUCGCCAAGAAGAAUGCCCCGCCCCCAUUUAUCCAUUGUAACAACCCCCUAUCAUCUCCCCUGGUUCCACAGCGCCCCCACCUCCUCAGCGACCACCCCCUCCUCCCUGGGCCAUGGCCCUCACUCCCCCUCCCCAGCCUCCCCUCCUCCAACUCCCUCCUCCACUCCAGAUCUGUCGGCCUAUCAGAUUCCUGCGUUCAUAUAAACAGCAACCACAGCAACAACCACAGGCAUUGCAGGGAUAGCAUGGCAGAUGUAGGGGUCAGCCACAGAAGUGCCAGCGGUGCUAGUGGAAGCGGUGGAUGGCUAGCAAGCCAGAGGAAUGUCUCUUGUUCUCCCGCCAGCGUCGCUGCAACACAGCCUUCCCAUGAUGCUCUCUGGUCCGGCCAUCACAACCGGGUUGCACGGCCCUUCUCUGCCUCCGAGCCAGGCUCGCGGGUCCAAUCCCCUUCCGCCUUUCUCUGCUCUCCAGCUCCUCACCAUGACUCCUUCACUCCCAUUCCUCCCCAGGACUCUUCCACUCCCCUGGUUCUUACCCCGCCCACGGGCCUCAGCCUGGAGCAGGCCAUCUUGAUGAAGUCUGUUACUGGCUCCGGCUCCUGCUGCCCCCGCAUUCUGUCCCCGCCUCCGAUUGGUGUUCCGUCAAACGCCUGGACCGAUCACAUCGCUGCACCCCGGCCACGGAACCCAUGCUCUGCACCCUACCCGACCUCCUAUACACCGGACACCUCCUCCUCUACUCCUGCCCCAAGUUCCCUGAACCUCAGGAGCCCUAUCAAGGCCUGCUCCUCCUACCUCCAGCCUCCGGUCUCGCCCAGCAGGCUCAGCCCAGACAGGGCCACCCAGGCUGGGAGGCAUCCCCAGCGAGACGAUCAGGAGCUCCUCGACCAGAGUCCAGAGACUGAGGUCACAACAGCCCCCUUCUCCUCUUCUUCUGCUCCUCUCUCCUAUGCUCACCCUCCUUCCCCCUCCUUCUCCUCUCCCCAAGAGCAGGGAGAGCUGGAGAAGGGAAGCUGUCGCAGUCAGCUGUUCUGUGCCUAUGUAGCCCGCCCUUCCCUGGCCCAAACUCCCACCACCACGCCCUCCACCGACCACACCAACCACAACCCCACCACCCAGCAAGCAGAUCCCCACACUCUGGUUCAAACACAGAUCACAGCCCACCCGGGGCUUCCUAGGACCAACUAUGCCACCACGGUGAACCUCCAGGUCGCCUGUAGCGGAAGGAUCACCUUCUACAGCACGGCCCGGGUCAGCCUAGACCAGAACCCCUAACGUUCCGAUCAGCCUGGACCAGAACCCCUAAAGUUCCGGUCAGCAUGGACCAGAACCCCUAACCCUCCAGUCAGCCUGGAUCAGAACCCCUAACCCUCCAUCAGCCUAGACCAGAACCCCUAACCCUCCAGUCAGCCUGGACCAGAACCCUUAACCCUCCAGUCAGCCUAGACCACCAGAACCCCUAACCCUCCAUCAGCCUAGACCAGAACCCCUAAACCUCCAGUCAGCCUGGACCAGAACCCCUAACCCUCCAGUCAGCCUGGACCAGAACCCUUAACCCUCCAGUCAGCCUAGACCACGAGAACCCCUAACCCUCCAUCAGCCUAGACCAGAACCCCUAACCCUCCGGUCAGCCUGGACCAGAACCCCUAACCCUCCAUCAGCCUAGACCAGAACCCCUAACCCUCCAUCAGCCUAGACCAGAACCCCUAAUGUUCCGGUCAGCCUGGACCAGAACCCCUAACCCUCCAUCAGCCUAGACCAGAACCCUUAACCCUCCAGUCAGCCUGGACCAGAACCCCUAACCCUCCAGUCAGCCUGGACCAGAACCCUUAACCCUCCAGUCAGCCUGGACCAGAACCCUUAACCCUCCAGUCAGCCUGGACCACCAGAACCCCUAACCCUCCGGUCAGCCUGGACCACCAGAACCCCUAACCCUCCGGUCAGCCUGGACCAGAACCCCUAACCCACCAUCAGCCUGAACCAGAUUCCCUUACCCUAAACCUUAAUAUUUAAAACAUGUCCGAUUUUUUUGUAUUUCAUGCCCUUUAAAGAAACCUAACACAUUUAUAUCUAAAGCAUCUUGCAGACUGAUGCCAACAGUGUCGUGGUGCAGUGGUGCAUCUUCUCAUUCUUCAGGCCCGGUCCCUUUCUACCUGUGACAGACCCGUUACGUGACCCUGAUGCUGUUAACAUGAACUGAUAACAUGGCAGCCUACACGUAACUUGGCUUGGACUGAAAGGUUGGCAUCAGAUCCUUCACCACUACCUCCUGGGGCCAAGAAACCUCCUCCUCCUCCCCCCCACACUGUGUCACACUCCCUGGCUACUCCUCUUCCUCCUCAUCCUCCUCAUCCACCUUCUUCACACACCCCUCAGUUAUUGUUUUCCAGCAGCCAUCCACUAAGCCUUCACCCAAUCUCUCUCUCCUCUUCCAACCCCUCAUCCUUCUCCAACCCCUUUACCCUCCAUCCUGAACCCUUUAACCCCUUUAGUCACUCUGGACCAGAACCCCUUACCCUCCAAUCUGCCUGGCCCAUCUACACUCCCUCACUCUCCCCUGCUCCUUAUAUUCCUCUUCAUCCAACUUCCUCACACAGCCCUCGGUUAAUGGUUUCCAGCAGGCUUCCAGUAAGCCUCCACUCCUCCUACACUCCCUCCUCCUCAAACCCCCUAAAACCCCUUUAUACUCCAUCCAACCCUUGCAUCAACCUCUUCCUCACCAGUCCUCAGUUAAUAUACUCAGACAGCAUUCCAGGAAGCCUGGGUGGGCGGGGUUUUUGCUGCCUGGAUUGCAUCAUGGAAUGUUUUAUUGCGAGACAACCUAUUGUUUUUAGAAAUAUUUUCUUCUGGUUUCGUAACUGCUAAACAUUGGGAAUGUGGUUGUUUAUGGGUCUAAUCUUGUUUCUGGCACUUAAUAUGCUUUUUAUACACACUACCAUAUGUUGUUAAUGCCAGUCUGUGUCUGCAGCACUGGCUGACUGUACAUGUGUUUAUGUGUUUAUGUGUGUGUGUGUGUGUUUGUCGUUCUUUAUACUUCAGUAGAAUCUGAUCCGUCUGCUUUGAAAUUUAUCAGAUAUGUUGUUCCUUAGAAAUUAUUUAAACCUUGUUUGGACCUGGUUUGAAGAUGAUUUAGACCUGGUAUGUAUCUGUUUUGAAAUUGGUCUAGACCUGGUUCGGUGACAGAUGGGAUCACCUUAUUGCAGACCAACUAAGUCCAACGUCAACUUAAAUAAAUAUAUAUAAUAAAGAAAUACUUCCUGUCUCAAAUGUACGCUUAUUGUUGCUGCUGUGUUGUCAGACCCCUCCCCCCAACCACCUAGGAUCUCUGGGCCAUGGCUUGAGGAUCUUCACGUUAGGCUCACUAGAUCAUUACGCUAGAACUUCC